rnacentral:misc_RNA from 1 species
GAUGAAGAACGUAGCGAAAUGCGAUAAGUAGUGUGAAUUGCAGAAUUCAGUGAAUCAUCGAAUCUUUGAACGCACAUUGCGCCUCCUGGCAUUCCGGGAGGCAUGCCUGUUCGAGCGUCAUCAAAAACCAUCGUGCAAAUCGAUUUUCGAUUUUUUGCCCGGACGUUGACGAUUGAGCGAAAAAUCGAAAAGUAUUUUUCGCACCUCGUCGAAAUGAUUGCGGGCGGAAUUUGGGUCCGGGUUCCUCGGCGUAGUGUACCAAUGCAUUCUUUUAUGUAACUUGCCGCGGAGUUGAGCCUGACCCACGCCUUCUCGCCGUACAAACCCCACGACUUUACACGUUUUUGACCUCGGAUCAGGUAGGGAUACCCGCUGAACUUAAGCAUAUCAAUAAGCGGAGGA